rnacentral:rRNA from 1 species
UACGUAGGGUGCGAGCGUUGUCCGGAAUUACUGGGCGUAAAGAGCUCGUAGGUGGUUUUGUCGCGUUGUUCGUGAAAUCUCACGGCUUAACUGUGAGCGUGCGGGCGAUACGGGGCAGACUAGAGUACUGCAGGGGGAGACUGGAAUUCCUGGUGUAGCGGUGAAAUGCGCAGAUAUCAGGAGGAACACCGGUGGCGAAGGCGGGUCUCUGGGCCGAUACUGACGCUGAGGAGCGAAAGCGUGGGGAGCGAACAGG